UACGGAGGGUGCAAGCGUUGUCCGGAAUCACUGGGCGUAAAGGGCGCGUAGGCGGCUCAUGAAGGCUGUGGUGAAAGUCCGGGGCUCAACCUCGGAUCGGCCGUGGCGACUCGUGGGCUGGAGCACUGUAGAGGCAGAUGGAAUUCCGGGUGUAGCGGUGGAAUGCGUAGAUAUCUGGAGGAAUACCGGUGGCGAAGGCGGCAUCCUGGACCAUAACUGACGCUGAGGCGCGAAAGCUAGGGGAGCAAACGGGG
rnacentral:rRNA from 1 species